rnacentral:rRNA from 1 species
AUUGAACGCUGGCGGCAGGCCUAACACAUGCCAGUCGAGCGGAUGAAGGGAGCUUGCUCCUGGAUUCAGCGGCGGACGGGUGAGUAAUGCCUAGGAAUCUGCCUGGUAGUGGGGGAUAACGUCCGGAAACGGGCGCUAAUACCGCAUACGUCCUGAGGGAGAAAGUGGGGGAUCUUCGGACCUCACGCUAUCAGAUGAGCCUAGGUCGGAUUAGCUAGUUGGUGGGGUAAAGGCCUACCAAGGCGACGAUCCGUAACUGGUCUGAGAGGAUGAUCAGUCACACUGGAACUGAGACACGGUCCAGACUCCUACGGGAGGCAGCAGUGGGGAAUAUUGGACAAUGGGCGAAAGCCUGAUCCAGCCAUGCCACGUGUGUGAAGAAGGUCUUCGGAUUGUAAAGCACUUUAAGUUGGGAGGAAGGGCAGUAAGUUAAUACCUUGCUGUUUUGACGUUACCAACAGAAUAAGCACCGGCUAACUUCGUG